GGCCCGGGGCUUCACUUUAAAAGACGGAACAUCCAGACCGGCUCACACAGCCUGUCCCAGGACGAAACGUCAGUGACCCGAGGAGUGAAGAGGCGUUUGUCAGAGGCAAGAGAGGCCCAGUUAGAGACUGACACUGAAAUGAUGACACAGGAUGAAAGUAGUGGAACCUAAGAAACAUUAAAGGUGGUCAUGGGAACGAAAAAUAGCAAGCAAUUCAGAAUUCUGUCGAAAUAGUACAUAAUGGGGCUCAGAAGCGAAGCAACUAGUUUUCAGCUUUCGGCGAAAAGGUUGCCAAUGAAAUGCUUCAUUACAAUGAUUCCAUUAGAGCAGAAGUGGAAUUAAUAAUUGGUAAUUUUCUAUACGAUGAGGAUCUUACAUUGCUUUGCAGUGGAAGUGCUACUUCAUAUGGUUCUAGCACGACUACACAAGAAUCUGGGCAACGACGGACAGGCAUAUGCAGAUAUUAUUAAUGCUGCCGUCGUAAUUGCAGAUGAUCUUCAGCAGUGAUGAAUAAUUAACGUUUCAGUUUUGUUGUCAUCUUCACGUGCGUGUAGUGUGCUCUUAUCCAAAAGUUAAAAGAUAAAUACAAAUUGUACUCUUA